rnacentral:misc_RNA from 1 species
GAUGAAGAACGCAGCGAAAUGCGAUAAGUAAUGUGAAUUGCAGAAUUCAGUGAAUCAUCGAAUCUUUGAACGCACAUUGCGCCCAUUAGCAUUCUAGUGGGCAUGCCUGUUCGAGCGUCAUUUCAACCCUUAAGCCCUGUUGCUUAGCGUUGGGAGCCUACAGUACUGUAGCUCCCCAAAGUUAGUGGCGGAGUCGGUUUCACACUCUAGACGUAGUAAUUUUUUCUCGUCUGUAGUUGAGCCGGUCCCCUGCCGUAAAACACCCACUUUAUCAAGGUUGACCUCGGAUCAGGUAGGAAUACCCGCUGAACUUAAGCAUAUCAAUAAGCGGAGGA